rnacentral:rRNA from 1 species
CCCUUAGAUGUUCUGGGCCGCACGCGCGCUACACUGAUGCAUUCAACGAGCCUAUCCUUGACCGACAGGUCCGGGUAAUCUUUGAAUCUGCAUCGUGACGGGGAUAGAUUAUUGCAAUUAUUAAUCUUCAACGAGGAAUGCCUAGUAGGCGCAAGUCAUCAGCUUGCGUCGAUUACGUCCCUGCCCUUUGUACACACCGCCCGUCGCUACUACCGAUUGAAUGGCUUAGUGAGGCUUCCGGAUUGGUUUAGAGAAGGGGGCAACUCCAUCUUGGAACCGAGAAGCUAGUCAAACUUGGUCAUUUAGAGGAAGUAAAAGUCGUAACA